rnacentral:rRNA from 1 species
UACGAAGGGUGCUAGCGUUGCUCGGAAUCACUGGGCGUAAAGGGUGCGUAGGCGGCUUUUUAAGUGAGGGGUGAAAUCCUGGAGCUCAACUCCAGAACUGCCUUUGAUACUGAAAAUCUUGAGGCCGGGAGAGGUGAGUGGAACUGCGAGUGUAGAGGUGAAAUUCGUAGAUAUUCGCAAGAACACCAGUGGCGAAGGCGGCUCACUGGCCCGGUACUGACGCUGAGGCACGAAAGCGUGGGGAGCAAACAGG